rnacentral:rRNA from 2 species
GGACUACAGGGGUAUCUAAUCCUGUUUGCUCCCCACGCUUUCGUGCAUGAGCGUCAGUACAGGCCCAGGGGAUUGCCUUCGCCAUCGGUGUUCCUCCGCAUAUCUACGCAUUUCACUGCUACACGCGGAAUUCCAUCCCCCUCUGCCGUACUCCAGCUCUACAGUCACAAAUGCAGUUCCCAGGUUGAGCCCGGGGAUUUCACAUCUGUCUUAUAGAACCGCCUGCGCACGCUUUACGCCCAGUAAUUCCGAUUAACGCUUGCACCCUACGUAUUACCGCGGCUGCUGGCAC